rfam:Asian citrus Psyllid, Diaphorina citri - Florida Strain, whole genome shotgun sequence.
GCCUAGUUAGCUUAGUUGGUAGCGCGUCUGCCUUGUAAGCGCUAGACCGCGGGUUUCAUUCCCGCCCGAGGCG